GACGAACGCUGGCGGCGUGCUUAACACAUGCAAGUCGAGCGGUAAGGCCCUUUCGGGGGUACACGAGCGGCGAACGGGUGAGUAACACGUGGGUGACCUGCCUUUAGCUCUGGGAUAAGCCUGGGGAAACUGGGUCUAAUACCGGAUAUGACCCUAUGGCGCAUGUUGUGGGGUGGAAAGCCUUGUGCGGCUAGGGAUGGGCCCGCGGCCUAUCAGCUUGUUGGUGGGGUGAUGGCCUACCAAGGCGACGACGGGUAGCCGGCCUGAGAGGGCGACCGGCCACACUGGGACUGAGACACGGCCCAGACUCCUACGGGAGGCAGCAGUGGGGAAUCUUGCGCAAUGGGCGAAAGCCUGACGCAGCGACGCCGCGUGAGGGAUGACGG
rnacentral:rRNA from 1 species